UAGGGAAUCUUCGGCAAUGGACGAAAGUCUGACCGAGCAACGCCGCGUGAGUGAAGAAGGUCUUCGGAUCGUAAAACUCUGUUGUUAGAGAAGAACAAGGACGUUAGUAACUGAACGUCCCCUGACGGUAUCUAACCAGAAAGCCACGGCUAACUACGUGCCAGCAGCCGCGGUAAUGCGUAGGUGGCAAGCGUUGUCCGGAAUUAUUGGGCGUAAAGCGAGCGCAGGCGGUUUCUUAAGUCUGAUGUGAAAGCCCCCGGCUCAACCGGGGAGGGUCAUUGGAAACUGGGAGACUUGAGUGCGGAAGAGGAGAGUGGAAUUCCAUGUGUAGCGGUGAAAUGCGUAGAUAUGUGGAGGAACACCGGUGGCGAAGGCGGCUCUCUGGUCUGUAACUGACGCUGAGGCACGAAAGCGUGGGGAGCAAACAGG
rnacentral:rRNA from 1 species